GCUGACGUAGCACAACAGGCGGUGCAGCUGCCUUGUAAGCAGCAGGGUGAAGGUUCGACCCCUUCCGUCAGCG
rnacentral:tRNA from 1 species